rnacentral:misc_RNA from 1 species
CAGAUUUAAAAGUGUUGCAAUCCUUGAGAUUCUAAGUUUCACAUAUUUUUUACAGUUCCAUUAUUGGCUAGUAUACAACUGUGAUUGUACCACAUUAAAUGUGUAGGCAGAGAAGGUAGAAGGUUUAACUAGCACAAUGAUAUAUGCAAUAACUUUAUUUGUGUGUUGCAUAGUUUUUGCUAAUGCGGGACCAGUAGAUGACCCUAAGCCAGUUCUAUUUGAUGAAGACAUGAAUACAAGUGAUCCACCAGAAGCUGUAUUAUUCAAUGGGGAGACAACACCAUUGACACCAACUCUACAUGAUGAUGAGACAAAAUGUUACUAUAAACUUUUCAGGGAAAAGGUAGAGAAUGAUGACUGUCUGAAAUACGAGACUUUUCCGGAUGGUUGGAGAGGUGAAUAUAUGGGAAACAAAAAGCAGGCCCAUACGAACCAACUACGGAGGAUUAUUGAGAAACAAUCACAAAACAUUGAGAUUCUACUGAACAAAUCAUCAAAUAAUGACGUAAUGGGAAAAGGUAAUGACAUACGGUCUCUCGUCAAACUACAGACACAGCUAGCUAAUCUUAUCUUUGAAGCCAAGAACCAAACAAGUAUACAUAGUCUGAAAAAAGAGAUGCGUGAAACAGCCCAAGCACUUUCAGUUGAAAUUAAAAACCUAGAACUCGAUUUUGAAAAUAAGAUUGAAAAGAUGUAUGAAUCUGUCAAGGCUGUUGAUGACACCUUCCAGAGAGACAUGACAACCAUUCAAGAAAACUUUAAUGCCAUCAUUGAACAGAAUGAAAAUGAUAACAAAGACAAGAUAAACAUGUUAAAUACACAAGUUAUGUCUGGAUGGGCUGACAGGGAAGAAUUAAGAAACCAGACAUAUCAGACUUUAUCUGAUCUCCUUGAGUUCAAGAGACAAAUAAAUGGACUACAAGAGAAACUGAACAACCAAGGCAGCCUCACUCAAGAUAACCGUAAGUUGAUUAAAUCAUUACAGCAACGUACUAACCAAAUAGAAACAAUUAUACAGGCAGAGGGGGAACAGUUAAAAGAAAGAUUAAUGAAUGUUGAAGAUACCAAUGAAAAACAACAGGAUCUUAUUGAACAAUUAAUCCAGCAAAAACAUGAAGAUGACACGAGAGAUGAACAGCAAACUGCAAGGAUGGAUAAUCUUGAACACAGGCUGAUGGGGGAAGUCGCAUCAGCGAAAGAUCAAAGUGCAAAAAGUGAACAUGUUUUAAUGCUAGAGAGAAAGUUGAAUGCCAAAGAUAAUGAGUUGGUUCAAAUGAAACGAGACUUGGAUGCAAUCAGAGGUAUUCUGGCCAACAUUGGUCAACCAUUGAUCAGACAGCCAACAUAUAUUAACUGUCAAGAUGCCCUCCAGUAUUACGAAUCUAUUAGUGGUAUUUAUUCAUUGCGCCCAGACACAAGAGCUCCCUUCCCAGCAUACUGUGACAUGGAGGGCUCUGACGGUUGGGUAGUCAUACAGAGGAGGCAAGAUGGGAAUGUUGAUUUCUAUCGGAACUGGGAAGACUACAAAAAUGGAUUUGGCGAUCUACUUGCAGACCAUUAUCUUGGGAAUAAGCAUAUUCACAUCCUCACCAAUGUGUACGACAGUAAACUGAAAAUUGAGUUGUACGACUGGGAAGACAACAUGAGAUAUGCAGAGUAUGACUCAUUCAAAAUAGGAUCAGAGGAUGAAAACUACAAGUUACACGCGAGUGGGUACCAUGGUAACGCUGGUGAUGCAUUGAGUUAUCAUAAUGAAAUGGAAUUCAGCACUAGGGACAGACGCAAUGACCUCAAUGAUGGGUUGUGUGUUGAAUGGGGCCAUGGGGCCUGGUGGUAUAACAACUGCUAUAAUAGUAACCUCAAUGGCAGGUACUAUUACGGAGGGCCCUACUCAACAAACAGCUUUUGGGGAGAUGGAGUGGUGUGGAGAAAUAUACGAGACACAAACUUUUACUCUCUGAAAAAAGUGGUUAUGAAAAUUAAACAGAAAUAAACAGUGAGAGUGGAAGGAACUACUAAUUGUAUGUAAUUAUGAAUUAUGAGUUCAUUAAUUGUGAAAAAUCAAUAGACUAUGUGAAAAAUCAAUCAACUUUUUGUGAAAAAUCAAUCGACUAUGUGAAAAAUCAAUCAACUUUUUGUGAAAAAUCAAUCGACUAUGUGAAAAAUCAAUCAACUCUGUGAACAAUCAAUCAACUCUUUGUGAAAGAUUGAUCAACUCUUUGUGAAUACUCAGUCAACUCUUUGUGAAAAAUCAAUAAACUCUUUGUGAAAAAUCAAUCAACUCUUUGUCAAAAAUCAAUCAAUUACUUGUGAAAAAUCAAUCAACUACUCUAACGCAAUAUAGCCAUGACUCUCAUUCAUAUGCUAUUCUGUCUUAUGGUCUUAAUCGAAUGAACAAUAUAAAAUUGAUAACAGGUUCAAAUAAGUCACCACAAACUGAAAAAUGGAUUUAUGACACUGAUACACCAAACUACUUUAAUAUUGUAUAUAUAUAUAUAAUGCAUGAAAUAAUAAGUUUAAUAUGCAUACUAUGGGGAAAAUGUUGUAGAAAUAAUCUUACAAAGUUAUUUUGUUUUAGUUUGUGAAAUUUCAAAUUCAAUUCAAUGUCAAAGUAUUUAUAGUUUAAGGGCUCC